ensembl:lncRNA
CGGAAAACGAACUUUUAUUUACAAUCUGCAGAAUGUGCAAAACUACAACUCCCAGUGUCCUCGAAAAAACGGAAAUCGACAGAACUACAAAACAGCUAAUACGCUAACUUGCUAGCGCCUCUAGUGACUAGUAGAUAACAAAAACUAUCGCGGAACUAUAAGGGCUAGAGAACAAUGCUGGAAAACUCGGAAGAUCUCUACAAUAUUACUAUGACGCAAAACCUUGACAUUUACUCAAGUGCUAGGGAAAGAGUGGGUCGAAAACGCCACCUACGCUUUAGAUGCUUAGUCCAAAAAUUCUACGAACCAAAUAACACAUUUAUCUACAAACUACGGGUCUGUACCCUCCGUGAAUCACCACUACAACGACUAUGUGAUAGAAUUAACAAAAAACCUACUGCGAAGUACUCAUUAACAGAACCAACUACAAAGAACUCAAAACGGAGCCUGCUCGGACCGGUGCUACAGCUGGCAAGUGAGAAGCAGGGGGCUGAGGCUCGAAGGCGGCCCGGAUGUGUCUCGGCUGCGGAGACGACUGGUGAGGGCUAAGCCGGAGCUGGGCGAAGGAUGGCUGAGGUGAAGGUAGAAGAUGAACCGGGUGAGUCCACAUCCAGGGGGGUCGGGUGAUCUCCACCGGAAGGCAGUCCUGACUAGGAGCAGAGCAGAGCAAAUUACUUGGCGUACUAAGGCAAGAGGAAAAGGUGCAACAGAAAAUAGGACCUUCCAAGCGUACUUGUGGAGAUGCAGGCUGAGGAGGAGCGGAACCGGCACCCAGCAUGAUGAGAACAUCUGGUUGCUCCUCAGCGAGAAUGAAGCUGCCUUGCAGCGGGAGGAGAUGGUCCAGAAUGCUGCCUUCAACCAGUCAUUCCUGGGUGUGCUGGGGCAGCUGGUGCAGGUAGUGGGCAGCCAGCAAGUCCACCUCCCAGAGACUUGAGAUUUAGUUGUACAUAGUUUUACUUUUAGCCCUCCACUGUAGGACAGGCCCACCACAGUUUGUACUUUGCACAUUGUAAAUAGUUUUGAUUUUGCUGCUGACUAAUAAACUAUUUUGUGACUUGUGA